CGAAUAGAUGGAUCUGACAACAAAUCAACCAUAGCAGUGCAAAGAUGAUCAAGAGUCUCCAAAUACACGUACGACUUGUCAUGCUUUGGAAGACCUGCAAGCGAUUCAAGAUACAUGGUUUGGAGAUAUGUAACCAUUUCUUGCAAAUAUCCACUAACAUCCUUUCGGACCUGAGUAGUCGUCCAAUCGUACUCUGCCAAGCCGAGAAAGUCGUCGAUUU